rnacentral:rRNA from 1 species
GACGAACGCUGGCGGCGUGCUUAACACAUGCAGGUCGAACGGAAAGGCCCUGCUUUUGUGGGGUGCUCGAGUGGCGAACGGGUGAGUAACACGUGAGUAACCUGCCCUUGACUUUGGGAUAACUUCAGGAAACUGGGGCUAAUACCGGAUAGGAGCUCCUGCUGCAUGGUGGGGGUUGGAAAGUUUCGGCGGUUGGGGAUGGACUCGCGGCUUAUCAGCUUGUUGGUGGGGUAGUGGCUUACCAAGGCUUUGACGGGUAGCCGGCCUGAGAGGGUGACCGGCCACCUUGGGACUGCGAUACGGCCCAGACUCCUACGGGAGGCAGCAGUGGGGAAUAUUGCACAAUGGGCGGAAGCCUGAUGCAGCAACGCCGCGUUCGGGAUGCCGGCCUUCGGGUUGUAAACCGCUUUCGCCUGUGACGAAGCGUGAGUGACGGUAAUGGGUAAAGAAGCACCGGCUAACUACGUG